UAGUUUCAUUCGCAGCGAAAGAAUACGAAGACUUCAAACUGUUUCAUAGAGACGCACACGUACACUACAAAGCCACACAUACGAACAUGAAGUAUUCUCACCGGACACUUGUAAUCUGCUAGAGCGAGCUGAAGCCCUUUCUCCUGUGCAUUUAAAAUGGAACCGAAGGCAGCUUGCUUUCAAGCCACAGACACUAUUUACCUCCUCUGAAGCUCAGAGUAGUUGAGCUGUGAAUGAUAACCUGCGGAUGCGGAAAUGACUGCAGACUGGCAGACGUGGAUCAGCAAGGGGCCUAAUACCAGCACCUCUGAAAUGCUGGCCUAGAGGGUACUGUGAACAUGGCACUCCCUUGUCUGGUAGACCAUUAGCCCUUUUGUGUGCUGCCCACUCUCCCUGAACCCUACCCUGCCCUCCUUUCUCCUGGGUGCUUCUGCUUUCCUCUGCCUUUCUGUCUCUGUAGGAUUUGUACCGCACACUCAUGUCCUGGCGACAUUCUUCACACCCCGACCCUAAAGAGGAUAUUUAACCUA
rnacentral:lncRNA from 1 species